GAUGAACGCUGGCGGCGUGCUUAACACAUGCAAGUCGAACGAUGAAGCCCAGCUUGCUGGGUGGAUUAGUGGCGAACGGGUGAGUAACACGUGAGUAACCUGCCCUUAACUCUGGGAUAAGCCUGGGAAACUGGGUCUAAUACCGGAUAGGAGCGUCCACCGCAUGGUGGGUGUUGGAAAGAUUUAUCGGUUUUGGAUGGACUCGCGGCCUAUCAGCUUGUUGGUGAGGUAAUGGCUCACCAAGGCGACGACGGGUAGCCGGCCUGAGAGGGUGACCGGCCACCUGGGGCCUGGGCCACGGCCCGGCCCCCUCCGGGGGGAAGGGGGGGGGAUUGUGGCCCAAAGGGCGCACGCCUGAGGGAGCGACCCCGCGGGGGGGAUGGCGGCCUUCGGUUGUGAAACCCUUUUCGGUAGGGAAGAAGGGAAAGUGGCGGUCCCGCAAGAAGAAGGCCCGGCUACUUCCUG
rnacentral:rRNA from 1 species